rnacentral:rRNA from 1 species
UAAGCGGAGGAAAAGAAACUAACAAGGAUUUCCCUAGUAGCGGCGAGCGAAACGGAAAUAGCCCAGCUUGGAAAUCGGUGCGCCCCGCGCGCUCCGAGUUGUAGUCUGGAGAAGGGUCCUCAUCGGCGGACCGGGCUUAGGUACCCUGGAAAGGGACGCCAGAGAGGGUGAGAGCCCCGUCUAGCCCGGACCCUGUCGAAGCACGAGGCCCUUUCGGCGAGUCGGGUUGUUUGGGAAUGCAGCCUCAAGCGGGUGGUAAAUCCCAUCCAAGGCUAAAUACUGGUGAGAGACCGAUAGCGCACAAGUACCGCGAGGGAAAGAUGAAAAGGACUUUGAAAAGAGAGUCAAAGAGUGCUUGAAAUUGCUGGGAGGGAAGCGAAUGGAUGCCUAGCGUGCCCGUUGGUUGUGCGUGGAACGGCGAGAGCCGGUCUGCCGAUCAAUGCAAGGGGCUAGCCAGCAUGGGGGGCUGCGGCGGGACAACGGCACGGGGCCUCGGCCCCUGCCAAUGCCGCCGCAUCCCCCGGGGUAGCGGCGGGGCACUCCGGUGCCCCGUCGGAUGCUGGUUGUGGGGCGUUCCAUCCGACCCGUCUUGAAACACGGACCAAGGAGUCUAACAUGUGUGCGAGUCUGCGGGUGCUAAACCCGGGCAGGCGCAAGGAAACUGAUUCGUGGGAUCCCCUCGCGGGGUGCACCACGGGCCGACCUUGAUCUUUUGAGAAGGGUUCGAGUGCAAGCAUACCUGUUGGGACCCGAAAGAUGGUGAACUAUGCCUGAGCAGGGCGAAGCCAGAGGAAACUCUGGUGGAGGCUCGCAGCGAUACUGACGUGCAAAUCGUUCGUCAGACUUGGGUAUAGGGGCGAAAGACUAAUCGAACCAUCUAGUAGCUGGUUCCCUCCGAAGUUUCCCUCAGGAUAGCUGGAGCUCUCGCUCUGAGUUUUGUCGGGUAAAGCGAAUGAUUAGAGGCAUCGGGGGUGAAACACCCUCGACCUAUUCUCAAACUUUAAAUAGGCAAGGCAGCCGGGGUUGCUCCGUUGAGCCCCGGCCGCGAAUGCGAGCUCCAAGUGGGCCAUUUUUGGUAAGCAGAACUGGCGAUGCGGGAUGAACCGAA